UACGUAGGGGGCGAGCGUUGUCCGGAUUUAUUGGGCGUAAAGAGCGUGUAGGCGGCCAGGUAGGUCUGCUGUGAAAACUCGAGGCUCAACCUCGAGACGUCGGCGGAAACCAUCUGGCUAGAGUCCGGAAGAGGAGAGUGGAAUUCCUGGUGUAGCGGUGAAAUGCGCAGAUAUCAGGAAGAACACCCGUGGCGAAGGCGGCUCUCUGGGACGGUACUGACGCUGAGACGCGAAGGCGUGGGGAGCGAACGGG
rnacentral:rRNA from 1 species